GUGUCAGCAGCCGCGGUAAGACGGAGGGCGCAAGCGUUGUUCGGAAUUACUGGGCGUAAAGCGCGGGCAGGUGGUCUGUUAAGUUUGCGGUGAAAUCCCGGGGCUCAACUCCGGAUAUGCCGCGAAUACUGGCGGACUAGAGACCGGUAGAGGCAAGUGGAAUUCCAGGUGUAGCGGUGGAAUGCGUAGAUAUCUGGAAGAACACCGGUGGCGAAGGCGGCUUGCUGGGCCGGUUCUGACACUCAGCCGCGAAAGCGUGGGGAGCAAACAGGAUUAGAAACCCGCGUAGUCC
rnacentral:rRNA from 1 species